UACGUAGGGUGCAAGCGUUAUCCGGAAUUAUUGGGCGAAAGAGCUCGUAGGCGGUCUGUCGCGUCUGCUGUGAAAACUGGGGGCUCAACCCCCAGCCUGCAGUGGGUACGGGCAGACUAGAGUGCGGUAGGGGAGAUUGGAAUUCCUGGUGUAGCGGUGAAAUGCGCAGAUAUCAGGAGGAACACCGAUGGCGAAGGCGGGUCUCUGGGCCGAUACUGACGCUGAGGAGCGAAAGCGUGGGGAGCGAACAGG
rnacentral:rRNA from 1 species